CAAUAGCGUAUAUUUAAGUUGUUGCAGUUAAAAAGCUCGUAGUUGGAUUUCGGGUAGGAUUUGCCGGUCCGUCUUUGAGAUGUGUACUGGUAAGUCCUAUCUUCUUGUCGGGGACCAGCUCCUGGGCUUCACUGUCCGGGACUGGGAGCCGACGAAGUUACUUUGAGUAAAUUAGAGUGUUCAAAGCAAGCCUACGCUCUGAAUAUAUUAGCAUGGAAUAACACGAUAGGACUCUGGCUUAUCUUGUUGGUCUGUGAGACCAGAGUGAUGAUUAAGAGGGACAGUCGGGGACAUUCGUAUUUCAUUGUCAGAGGUGAAAUUCUUGGAUUUAUGAAAGACGAACUUCUGCGAAAGCAUUUGUCAAGGAUGUUUUCAUUAA
rnacentral:rRNA from 1 species